AUGCUUUUUCAGUUCAUAAAGGUGACGACUGGGUUUUCAUACACCUGUGUGAGAUGUGCCUCCCUCAAACCUUGUUAUAAUGUUGGCAUGUUAUUCAUCUGACA